CUACAUAUCAAUAAGCGGAGGAAAAGAAACCAACAGGGAUUGCCCUAGUAACGGCGAGUGAAGCGGCAACAGCUCAAAUUUGAAAUCUGGCUUCGGCCCGAGUUGUAAUUUGUAGAGGAAACUUUUGGUGAGGCACCUUCUGAGUCCCUUGGAACAGGGCGCCAUAGAGGGUGAGAGCCCCGUAUAGUCGGAUGCCGAUCCAAUGUAAAGUUCCUUCGACGAGUCGAGUAGUUUGGGAAUGCUGCUCAAAAUGGGAGGUAAAUUUCUUCUAAAGCUAAAUAUAGGCCAGAGACCGAUAGCGCACAAGUAGAGUGAUCGAAAGAUGAAAAGCACUUUGAAAAGAGGGUUAAAUAGCACGUGAAAUUGUUGAAAGGGAAGCGUUUGUGACCAGACUUGCGCCGUUCCGAUCAUCCGGUGUUCUCACCGGUGCACUCGGGGCGGCUCAGGCCAGCAUCGGUUUUGGUGGGGGGAUAAAGGUCCAGGGAACGUAGCUCCUCCGGGAGUGUUAUAGCCCUGGGCGUAAUGCCCUCGCUGGGACCGAGGUUCGCGCAUCUGCAAGGAUGCUGGCGUAAUGGUCAUCAACGACCCGUCUUGAAACACGGACCAAGGAGUCAAGGUUUUGCGCGAGUGUUUGGGUGUAAAACCCGCACGCGUAAUGAAAGUGAACGUAGGUGAGAGCUUCGGCGCAUCAUCGACCGAUCCUGAUGUAUUCGGAUGGAUUUGAGUAAGAGCGUUAAGCCUUGGACCCGAAAGAUGGUGAACUAUGCUUGGAUAGGGUGAAGCCAGAGGAAACUCUGGUGGAGGCUCGCAGCGGUUCUGACGUGCAAAUCGAUCGUCAAAUCUGAGCAUGGGGGGCGAAAGACUAAUCGAACCAUCUAGUAGCUGGUACCGC
rnacentral:rRNA from 1 species